GGAUAAACGGCUGGCGGCGUGCUUAACACAUGCAAGUCGAACGGAGUAGUCCUUCGGAAGAUCGAAGAGCUUGCUCGGAGAGAUUCUUUGGAAUACGUUAGUGGCGGACGGGUGAGUAACGCGUGGGUAACCUGGCCUACACACAGGGGGAUAACAGUUCGGAAACGACUGUUAAUACCGCAUAAGCGCACAGUACCGCAUGGUACAGUGUGAAAAACUCCGGUGGUGUGAGAUGGACCCGCGUCUGAUUAGGCUAGUUGGUGAGGUAACGGCCCACCAAGGCGACGAUCAGUAGCCGGCCUGAGAGGGUGUACGGCCACAUUGGGACUGAGACACGGCCCAAACUCCUACGGGAGGCAGCAGUGGGGAAUAUUGCACAAUGGGGGAAACCCUGAUGCAGCGACGCCGACGUGAGUGAUGAAGUAUCUCGGUAUGUAAAGCUCUAUCAGCAGGGAAGAUAAUGACGGUACCUGACUAAGAAGCACCGGCUAAAUACGUGCCAGCAGCCGC
rnacentral:rRNA from 1 species